CAUGAACCAGGACCUGGAGAUCCUGAUGGCCUUGGAACGGGCCCACAUCCUAGCCAGUUACACCCAGGCACGCCCAGCGGGGUCUCCAGGGGCCGCCCGGGAAGAGGCUGACCUCUCGCUGUGCAGGCUCACGGACCAUCACGGCUUCCUGCACAACAUCGCCAGGAGACCCGCAGGGCCGACAAGUGGGC